rnacentral:rRNA from 1 species
GCAACGCCGCGUGAGGGAUGACGGCCUUCGGGUUGUAAACCUCUUUCGCCUGUGACGAAGCGCAAGUGACGGUAACAGGUAAAGAAGCACCGGCCAACUACGUGCCAGCAGCCGCGGUAAUACGUAGGGUGCGAGCGUUGUCCGGAAUUAUUGGGCGUAAAGGGCUCGUAGGCGGUUUGUCGCGUCGGGAGUGAAAACGCCGUGCUUAACACGGCGCUUGCUUUCGAUACGGGCAGACUAGAGGUAUUCAGGGGAGAACGGAAUUCCUGGUGUAGCGGUGAAAUGCGCAGAUAUCAGGAGGAACACCGGUGGCGAAGGCGGUUCUCUGGGAAUGACCUGACGCUGAGGAGCGAAAGUGUGGGGAGCGAACAGGAUUAGAUACCCUGGUAGUCCACACCGUAAACGUUGGGCGCUAGGUGUGGGGUCCAUUCCACGGAUUCCGUGCCGCAGCUAACGCAUUAAGCGCCCCGCCUGGGGAGUACGGCCGCAAGGCUAAAACUCAAAGGAAUUGACGGGGGCCCGCACAAGCGGCGGAGCAUGCGGAUUAAUUCGAUGCAACGCGAAGAACCUUACCUGGGUUUGACAUACACCCUGCCGCUCCAGAGAUGGGGCUUCUUUUG